rnacentral:rRNA from 1 species
GGAAUAUUGGACAAUGGCCGGGAGGCUGAUCCAGCCAUGCCGCGUGCGGGAGGACGGCCCUAUGGGUUGUAAACCGCUUUUGUCAGGGAGCAAUAAGGUCCACGUGUGGUCCGAUGAGAGUACCUGGCGAAUAAGCAUCGGCUAACUCCGUGCCAGCAGCCGCGGUAAUACGGAAGGUCCGGGCGUUAUCCGGAUUUAUUGGGUUUAAAGGGAGCGCAGGCUGAUUGUUAAGCGUGACGUGAAAUGUAGCCGCUCAACGGCUGCACUGCGUCGCGAACUGGCAGUCUUGAGUGAGUACGACGUCAGCGGAAUUCGUGGUGUAGCGGUGAAAUGCUUAGAUAUCACGAAGAACCCCGAUUGCGAAGGCAGCUGACGAGUCCUUUACUGACGCUAAAGCUCGAAGGUGCGGGUAUCGAACA